UCCUACGGGAGGCAGCAGUGGGGAAUAUUGCACAAUGGGCGCAAGCCUGAUGCAGCCAUGCCGCGUGUAUGAAGAAGGCCUUCGGGUUGUAAAGUACUUUCAGCGGGGAGGAAGGGAGUGAGGUUAAUAAGCUCAUUCAUUGACGUUACCCGCAGAAGAAGCACCGGCUAACUCCGUGCCAGCAGCCGCGGUAAU
rnacentral:rRNA from 1 species